rnacentral:lncRNA from 13 species
ACCCAAACCUGCUGAAAAUAAGUCAAAGAAGUGAAGAUUUAAUUGCUACGACUUAACGGCCAGAUUAGUCAAAGCGUGGCUCCUUUUAACGAUGAGUUUCCGGCAACAUCUGAACAAAAGCACGAAGAUUUUGCUUAACGGUCAGAUUAGCAGAGAACUCUACAUCGGAGCGCGACUUUAACGACGAGCUUCCGGCAACAUCUGAGCAAAAGGUAUUUUGAGCUGAAAGGAAGAAGAAGGAAAAAGAAGAACAAAAGAAAAUAAACAAAAGAAGACAAGACGCAAGACAUGAUUAUUCAGCCGGGAUAGAAUACAUAUAUAUAUUUUAUAAAUGGAUGCGUAUAUGUCUAAACACAUGUAUUGUAUCUAUAAAUAUAAUACGUGAUACACACGGGCAGUAAAAGUUUAUGUGCUUUGUUAACUGUUUCUAUUAUUAUGCGGUAAACAAAGCGAUAAUGAAAACAACUCUUGAGACAUUUAUAUUAAAUAGAAAAUUUGUAUAAUCUAUUGCAAGCUAUUAGAAGUGCUUCAUACAAAUAAUAAAAUAACAAUAAAAGUGUCAUUUAAGAAAAGAGUUUAAGAAAAAAAAAAUUGUAAAAUGAGUGUAAACACUAGAAAAAGGAAAUGUUCUCUUACAGACAAAAAUGAUAUAGUAUUAAAGAGACUGCGCAUAGAAUUAAUACGCAUAGAUUCAAGUAAAAGAGAAAAUUUAGAAUUUCUUAGCGAUUUACAAGAUGAAUCUAGACAAGAUAAAUUUUGUACAGAUCAUCAUACUCAACACCACAGACAUCAACUUCUAAUCACUUGAUCAAACUUAUGUAUCAAUUAGACUUGUCAGUACUUUGCUCGCUUAGAAAGUUUACGUGAACAUAAAUAUCCUUUAUUAUCAUUAAUGUUUGAAGAUUCUGAAAUUGAUAAAUUUAAUAAUGUAAUAAUUUGUUAUUCGUCAUGAAAAGAAGUCAAUUCAUAUACGAAUUGAAUAUGUAGAUGAAUACUAUACAGAAAGUAGUAUUAGCUAUGGCAAAUUAUUUUCUAAACGCAACUCUUUACUUAAUAGUUAUUUUAAUGUUUUUGUUAAACGCAUAUUGAAAACAGAUAAUUUAUUAACAGAUGUAGAAUAUCUCAUUAUUUAUACUAAUUCAAAAUUGAAUCUUACAAAAGAGAAAACAUUCAAAAUAGGACGAUCUAAAACUUUUUAUUUUUUUAAAUUUGAUAACGUACAAAUUGGAGAAUGUGACAUUUUAAAAGAUUUUUUAUUUACAAAUGAUGAUACACAAGAGGAUGGUUUUUAUCGGUUUUCACUAGAUAAAACAAGAGAGAAGCUUUUAAAACAGUUGGAAUUUUUGCCUUCUACAAACAAAGUAGUACAAAAAAGAAAACUUACUCAGGAAUUUGAUAAAAGAAUAAAAGCAGCAUGUUUAGAUAAAAUAGUAUUUGCAGUUAAACAGCCCAAUAGAGAAAAACUGAGCAGCAUUGUAAAAAUUGAAAUGAAAAAAAAUGGUAAAGAUCAAAAUGAUUAUGUAGCAUUGCAAGAAAGAAUAUUAUGUGACUUAAAAACUUCAGACCAGUAUGUAAAACGUGGAAUCGAUGUAUCCGGAAUUAUAUAUCAGUUUAAUUUAUUAAUGAGCUUCCUUCAUGAUACAUUUGUGCAUAAAAAUGUAUUUUCCAUAAACUUUGGAAAUAAUGAUAACAGCAUUGCUAUCUACCAUCAAAACAGAAUUUCUUAUCUAUAUGUUCAUAACGCAGAUAUUAAUAUAGACAGUAGUCAGUUGUUCUCCUUCUCAGAGAAAGAAAAUAUGUUCUGUAUUAAUAAAUAUUUUACACUAUUUGUUGAAAACUUUAGUGAGAAUAUAGAAUAUUUAAUUUUGUACACUAACGCAAACUUAGAUCUGACAAAAGAAAAGAGGUUAAAAAUAAGGAUAUCUAAUGAUACCUGUCUUUCAAAAUUUGAUAGCGUUAAUAUUUGUGAGGAAUAUAGAGUUUUAAGAAAUAUAGAGUUUUAAGAUAUUGUUCCCCUAUGAACAAAAAUGAUAUUUAUCAAUUCUCGGAAGAUAUAACACGAGAGAAGAUUAUAAAGAUGUUAGUGUUGCCAUCUUUCCUGCAAAAAGAAAAAGAUGAGGGACAACUUUCUAAU